rnacentral:siRNA from 1 species
ACACCGCCACUUAAUACACCGCCA